rnacentral:lncRNA from 1 species
CGGGGCGCAGUUCCCAGGGCCCGCCAGCCCCGAGGGGUGCCCUCGGCCGCAAAAUGCCGCGGGGCCUCAGCGUGUGGAGCUGCUCGGGAGGUCGAACCCGAAGGUACCUAGUGUGGCGCCAUGGCGCCAUCGAGGACGUCGGGAGAAACUGAGGCGCAGGGAGAAGGUUGGGCUUCCUGGAGUACAGAGCGAGGCGCCACUAACUGAGCGCCUACUGCGUGUUGCGCGCUUUGGUGCCCUGGGUUCAUUGACUUAAUGCUCACGAAGACCCGAGAAGUGAGUGCCGCUGUUAUCUGGCUCGCAGAUCUGACCCCAGGCUCCGCAUCCCGGGGUCACAUCCGGUGGGGGAUGCACCGUCUCUGACAGAGGUGGUUCAGCGCCCUUAGCUCAAGCACAUCCGGUGACAGCUCUAAGCCAGAACCUAAGGGGGCCAGAAGCUGGGAUCCAAGUCUACUUGUCCCACCCCCUCCACUGGAACUCCCUGGCCCCCAGCUCUGCACAGCUCCUGCCCUGCAGCCCUCGCCUGGCUGUGCUCCGGGAAGUCCUCGUGGGCACUUCACCCUGCUCUGCAGCCACACUCACACCCUAGAUCCAGGUCACACUAGAGGCAAAGACCCCACUGGCUCGGACUUCACCAACCUGGAGCAGGGGAGAGAAGCUAAGUUCUGACCUUUGAUCAGAAGAUGGGGAAGCCACACUCAACACGUCACUGCCUUGGGAGGUGGAUUUGGGGAUGGUGGGUCCUGGGGAAAAACGGGCUUUUGGUGUGGAAAUGACAUCUUUCCUGUUUCCGACCUCUGCCUGCCUCAUGCCAGGUGAGACACCUUCAUGCCUGUUUCCAUGAUUGAGAACAUGGGAGUACGCUUCUUUCCACCUACGUUCCUGGUGGAUUUUCACUGGAGUUGGGCUGCACUGUGGAAAAGGGGUUGGGCAGCUCCUGUGGCACAGUGAGGGGGCAUAGAAGCCCAAGGCAGUCGGUAAGAAAUCACCAAUUUAUUGAA